rnacentral:tRNA from 1 species
CCCCACCAAUCAGAGGUAAUGAAUCUGUCUGUAAAGCAGGAAACACAGGUUCGAUCCCUGGGUCGGGA